CCUACGGGUGGCAGCAGUAGGGAAUAUUCGGCAAUGGGCGAAAGCCUGACCGAGCAACGCCGCGUGAAUGAAGAAGGCCUUCGGGUUGUAAAGUUCUGUUAUUGAGGAAGAAUGGUGUACGUAGGAUAUGGCGUACAAAUGACGGUACUCUGUGAGGAAGCACCGGCUAACUACGUGCCAGCAGCCGCGGUAAUACGUAGGUGGCGAGCGUUAUCCGGAAUAAUUGGGCGUAAAGAGGGAGCAGGCGGCCUGGUAGGUCGAUUGUUAAAAGGCAGUGGCUUAACUAGUGUAAGGCGAAGAUACCGGCAGGCUAGAGUGCUAAAGAGGGUCGUGGAAUUCCAGGUGUAGCGGUGAAAUGCGUAGAUAUAUGGAGGAACACCGAUGGCGAAGGCGACGAUCUGGGAAGAAACAGACGCUGA
rnacentral:rRNA from 1 species